rnacentral:rRNA from 2 species
AACUUUCAACAACGGAUCUCUUGGCUCUGGCAUCGAUGAAGAACGCAGCGAAAUGCGAUAAGUAAUGUGAAUUGCAGAAUUUAGUGAAUCAUCGAAUCUUUGAACGCACAUUGCGCCCCUUGGUAUUCCGAGGGGCAUGCCUGUUCGAGCGUCGU